rnacentral:rRNA from 1 species
UGCCUGUUGGGUCAUAAUAGGUUGUUUCUGCCCACUGCUAAGGUGAAGGGCCGCAGUACUUUGACUGUGCUAAGGUAGCGUAAUCAUUUGGCUUUUAAUUGGGGUCCUGUAUGAAGAAAGAACGGGGGGGGGCUGUCUCUCCCUGCUUAGAAGUUACUAAGAAGGUGAAAAUCCCUUCAAAAAAACAAAAGACGAGAAGACCCCGGGAGCUAUUAUUUUGUUGGGGCAACAAAGGAGCUUAACCUCCUUAGUUAGGGUUUCUAGCCAAUCUUGUUUUGUGGGUAAGCUACCCCGGGGAUAACAGCGUAAUUUUUGAAAAAGCUUGCGACCUCGAUGUUGGACUAGGCACUUUUAGGUUAGCCGCCUAAGAAGAUAGCUCUGUUCGAGCGGUUUAGCCUACGU